UUUCCAGAGAUGGAUUGGUGCCUUCGGGAACUGUGAGACAGGUGCUGCAUGGCUGUCGUCAGCUCGUGUUGUGAAAUGUUGGGUUAAGUCCCGCAACGAGCGCAACCCUUAUCCUUUGUUGCCAGCGGUCCGGCCGGGAACUCAAAGGAGACUGCCAGUGAUAAACUGGAGGAAGGUGGGGAUGACGUCAAGUCAUCAUGGCCCUUACGACCAGGGCUACACACGUGCUACAAUGGCGCAUACAAAGAGAAGCGACCUCGCGAGAGCAAGCGGACCUCAUAAAGUGCGUCGUAGUCCGGAUUGGAGUCUGCAACUCGACUCCAUGAAGUCGGAAUCGCUAGUAAUCGUGGAUCAGAAUGCCACGGUGAAUACGUUCCCGGGCCUUGUACACACCGCCCGUCACACCAUGGGAGUGGGUUGCAAAAGAAGUAGGUAGCUUAACCUUCGGGAGGGCGCUUACCACUUUGUGAUUCAUGACUGGGGUGAAGUCGUAACAAGGUAACCGUAGGGGAACCUGCGGUUGGAUCACCUCCUUA
rnacentral:rRNA from 2 species